rnacentral:rRNA from 1 species
AGUGAACGCUGACGGUAGGCCUAACACAUGCAAGUCGAACGGCAGCACAGUAAGAGCUUGCUCUUACGGGUGGCGAGUGGCGGACGGGUGAGGAAUACAUCGGAAUCUACUUUUUCGUGGGGGAUAACGUAGGGAGACUUACGCUAAUACCGCAUACGACCUACGGGUGAAAGCAGGGGAUCUUCGGACCUUGCGCGAUUGAAUGAGCCGAUGUCGGAUUAGCUAGUUGGCGGGGUAAAGGCCCACCAAGGCGACGAUCCGUAGCUGGUCUGAGAGGAUGAUCAGCCACACUGGAACUGAGACACGGUCCAGACUCCUACGGGAGGCAGCAGUGGGGAAUAUUGGACAAUGGGCGCAAGCCUGAUCCAGCCAUACCGCGUGGGUGAAGAAGGCCUUCGGGUUGUAAAGCCCUUUUGUUGGGAAAGAAAAGCAGCAGGUUAAUACCCCGCUGUUCUGACGGUACCCAAAGAAUAAGCACCGGCUAACUUCGUG